UUAAGCGACUAAGCGUACACGGUGGAUGCCCUGGCAGUCAGAGGCGAUGAAGGACGUGCUAAUCUGCGAUAAGCGUCGGUAAGGUGAUAUGAACCGUUAUAACCGGCGAUUUCCGAAUGGGGAAACCCAGUGUGUUUCGACACACUAUCAUUAACUGAAUCCAUAGGUUAAUGAGGCGAACCGGGGGAACUGAAACAUCUAAGUACCCCGAGGAAAAGAAAUCAACCGAGAUUCCCCCAGUAGCGGCGAGCGAACGGGGAGCAGCCCAGAGCCUGAAUCAGUGUGUGUGUUAGUGGAAGCGUCUGGAAAGGCGCGCGAUACAGGGUGACAGCCCCGUACACAAAAAUGCACAUGCUGUGAGCUCGAUGAGUAGGGCGGGACACGUGGUAUCCUGUCUGAAUAUGGGGGGACCAUCCUCCAAGGCUAAAUACUCCUGACUGACCGAUAGUGAACCAGUACCGUGAGGGAAAGGCGAAAAGAACCCCGGCGAGGGGAGUGAAAAAGAACCUGAAACCGUGUACGUACAAGCAGUGGGAGCACAGAGCAAUCUGUGUGACUGCGUACCUUUUGUAUAAUGGGUCAGCGACUUAUAUUCUGUAGCAAGGUUAACCGAAUAGGGGAGCCGAAGGGAAACCGAGUCUUAACUGGGCGUUAAGUUGCAGGGUAUAGACCCGAAACCCGGUGAUCUAGCCAUGGGCAGGUUGAAGGUUGGGUAACACUAACUGGAGGACCGAACCGACUAAUGUUGAAAAAUUAGCGGAUGACUUGUGGCUGGGGGUGAAAGGCCAAUCAAACCGGGAGAUAGCUGGUUCUCCCCGAAAGCUAUUUAGGUAGCGCCUCGUGAAUUCAUCUCCGGGGGUAGAGCACUGUUUCGGCAAGGGGGUCAUCCCGACUUACCAACCCGAUGCAAACUGCGAAUACCGGAGAAUGUUAUCACGGGAGACACACGGCGGGUGCUAACGUCCGUCGUGAAGAGGGAAACAACCCAGACCGCCAGCUAAGGUCCCAAAGUCAUGGUUAAGUGGGAAACGAUGUGGGAAGGCCCAGACAGCCAGGAUGUUGGCUUAGAAGCAGCCAUCAUUUAAAGAAAGCGUAAUAGCUCACUGGUCGAGUCGGCCUGCGCGGAAGAUGUAACGGGGCUAAACCAUGCACCGAAGCUGCGGCAGCGACGCUUAUGCGUUGUUGGGUAGGGGAGCGUUCUGUAAGCCUGUGAAGGUGUGCUGUGAGGCAUGCUGGAGGUAUCAGAAGUGCGAAUGCUGACAUAAGUAACGAUAAAGCGGGUGAAAAGCCCGCUCGCCGGAAGACCAAGGGUUCCUGUCCAACGUUAAUCGGGGCAGGGUGAGUCGACCCCUAAGGCGAGGCCGAAAGGCGUAGUCGAUGGGAAACAGGUUAAUAUUCCUGUACUUGGUGUUACUGCGAAGGGGGGACGGAGAAGGCUAUGUUGGCCGGGCGACGGUUGUCCCGGUUUAAGCGUGUAGGCUGGUUUUCCAGGCAAAUCCGGAAAAUCAAGGCUGAGGCGUGAUGACGAGGCACUACGGUGCUGAAGCAACAAAUGCCCUGCUUCCAGGAAAAGCCUCUAAGCAUCAGGUAACAUCAAAUCGUACCCCAAACCGACACAGGUGGUCAGGUAGAGAAUACCAAGGCGCUUGAGAGAACUCGGGUGAAGGAACUAGGCAAAAUGGUGCCGUAACUUCGGGAGAAGGCACGCUGAUAUGUAGGUGAAGCGACUUGCUCGUGGAGCUGAAAUCAGUCGAAGAUACCAGCUGGCUGCAACUGUUUAUUAAAAACACAGCACUGUGCAAACACGAAAGUGGACGUAUACGGUGUGACGCCUGCCCGGUGCCGGAAGGUUAAUUGAUGGGGUUAGCGGUAACGCGAAGCUCUUGAUCGAAGCCCCGGUAAACGGCGGCCGUAACUAUAACGGUCCUAAGGUAGCGAAAUUCCUUGUCGGGUAAGUUCCGACCUGCACGAAUGGCGUAAUGAUGGCCAGGCUGUCUCCACCCGAGACUCAGUGAAAUUGAACUCGCUGUGAAGAUGCAGUGUACCCGCGGCAAGACGGAAAGACCCCGUGAACCUUUACUAUAGCUUGACACUGAACAUUGAGCCUUGAUGUGUAGGAUAGGUGGGAGGCUUUGAAGUGUGGACGCCAGUCUGCAUGGAGCCGACCUUGAAAUACCACCCUUUAAUGUUUGAUGUUCUAACGUGGGCCCCUUACCGGGGUUGCGGACAGUGUCUGGUGGGUAGUUUGACUGGGGCGGUCUCCUCCUAAAGAGUAACGGAGGAGCACGAAGGUUGGCUAAUCCUGGUCGGACAUCAGGAGGUUAGUGCAAUGGCAUAAGCCAGCUUGACUGCGAGCGUGACGGCGCGAGCAGGUGCGAAAGCAGGUCAUAGUGAUCCGGUGGUUCUGAAUGGAAGGGCCAUCGCUCAACGGAUAAAAGGUACUCCGGGGAUAACAGGCUGAUACCGCCCAAGAGUUCAUAUCGACGGCGGUGUUUGGCACCUCGAUGUCGGCUCAUCACAUCCUGGGGCUGAAGUAGGUCCCAAGGGUAUGGCUGUUCGCCAUUUAAAGUGGUACGCGAGCUGGGUUUAGAACGUCGUGAGACAGUUCGGUCCCUAUCUGCCGUGGGCGCUGGAGAACUGAGGGGGGCUGCUCCUAGUACGAGAGGACCGGAGUGGACGCAUCACUGGUGUUCGGGUUGUCAUGCCAAUGGCACUGCCCGGUAGCUAAAUGCGGAAGAGAUAAGUGCUGAAAGCAUCUAAGCACGAAACUUGCCCCGAGAUGAGUUCUCCCUGACUCCUUGAGAGUCCUGAAGGAACGUUGAAGACGACGACGUUGAUAGGCCGGGUGUGUAAGCGCAGCGAUGCGUUGAGCUAACCGGUACUAAUGAACCGUGAGGCUUAACCUU
rnacentral:rRNA from 2 species